UACGUAGGGGGCAAGCGUUGUCCGGAUUUAUUGGGCGUAAAGAGCGUGUAGGCGGCUUUACAGGUCCGUUGUGAAAACUCGAGGCUCAACCUCGAGACGCCGGUGGAAACCGUAAGGCUAGAGUCCGGAAGAGGAGAGUGGAAUUCCUGGUGUAGCGGUGAAAUGCGCAGAUAUCGGGAGGAACACCUGUGGCGAAAGCGGCUCACUGGACCAUAACUGACGCUGAUGCACGAAAGCUGGGGGAGCAAACAGG
rnacentral:rRNA from 1 species